UACAGAGGGGGCAAGCGUUGUUCGGAAUUACUGGGCGUAAAGGGCGCGUAGGCGGCCUGCUAAGUCGAACGUGAAAUCCCCGAGCUCAACUCGGGAACUGCGUCCGAUACUGGCAGGCUUGAAUCCGGGAGAGGGAUGCGGAAUUCCAGGUGUAGCGGUGAAAUGCGUAGAGAUCAGGAAGAACACCGGUGGCGAAAGCGCUCUGCUAGGCCGCAACUGACACUCAUGGACGAAAGCUAGGGGAGCGAAUGGG
rnacentral:rRNA from 1 species